UUUUAUGAGAAGUAAGACUACCAUUUUGAGCAAAGGUCUUUCCACACUCGAUGCAUUUAUAUGGCUUCUCCCCUUUGUGGAUCACCUUAUGGCGAAUAAGAUGGCUUCUUUGAGCAAAAGUCUUUCCACACUCCAUGCAUUUAUACGGCUUCUCCCCUGUGUGGAUCCUUUUGUGGAUAGUAAGUCCACUACUGUAAGCAAAGGUCUUUCCACACUCUUUGCAUUUAUAUGGUUUCUCCCCUGUGUGGAUCAUCUUAUGACGCAUAAGAUGGCCUCUUUGAGCAAAGGCCUUUCCACACUCCA